UACAGAGGUGGCAAGCGUUGUUCGGAAUUACUGGGCGUAAAGGGCGCGUAGGCGGCCUCGCAAGUCCCGUGUGAAAUCCCUCGGCUCAACUGAGGAAUGGCACGGGAAACUGCGGGGCUUGAGUUCGGGAGAGGGAAGCGGAAUUCCGGGUGUAGCGGUGAAAUGCGCAGAUAUCAGGAGGAACACCGGUGGCGAAGGCGGGUCUCUGGGCAGUAACUGACGCUGAGGAGCGAAAGCGUGGGGAGCGAACAGG
rnacentral:rRNA from 1 species